AACGAACGUUAGCGGCGCGCCUAACACAUGCAAGUCGAGCGAGAAAGGGCUUCGGCCCCGGUACAGCGGCGCACGGGUGAGUAACACGUAGGUAAUCUUCCCUCGAGCGGGGGAUAACCUUCCGAAAGGAGGGCUAAUACCGCAUAAGACCACGGAGUCGAAAGACUCUGAGGUCAAAGCCGGCCUCUAUACAUAAGCUGGCACUUGAGGAUGAGCCUGCGGCCCAUCAGCUAGUUGGUAGGGUAACGGCCUACCAAGGCGAAGACGGGU
rnacentral:rRNA from 1 species